rnacentral:rRNA from 1 species
CUACGGGCCGCUCCAGUGGGGAAUAUUGGACAAUGGAGGAAACUCUGAUCCAGCAAUUCCGCGUGGAUGAAGAAGGCUUUCGGGUUGUAAAGUCCUUUCAGCAGGGAAGAAGCAAGUGACGGUACCUGCAGAAGAAGCACCGGCUAAUUACGUGCCAGCAGCCGCGGUAAGACGUAAGGUGCAAGCGUUAUCCGGAUUUACUGGGCUUAAAGGGCAUCUAGGCGGCUAAAUAAGUCAGAGGUGAAAAGUCUGGGCUCAACCGAGGCCUUGCCUUUGAAACUGUUUAGCUAGAGUACGGGAGAGGAGGGCGGAACUACAAGUGUAGCGGUGAAAUGCGUAGAUAUUUGUAGGAAUGCCGAUGACGAAGGUAGCUCUCUGGACCGCUACUGACGCUGAAGUGCGAAAGCUAGGGGAGCGAACAGGAUUAGAUACCCGAGUAGUC